GGUAUGGGAUGAGCUUGCGUCCGAUUAGCUAGUUGGCGGGGCAACGGCCCACCAAGGCGACGAUCGGUAGCCGGCCUGAGAGGGUGAUCGGCCACAUUGGGACUGAGAUACGGCCCAGACUCCUACGGGAGGCAGCAGUAGGGAAUAUUGCACAAUGGGGGGAACCCUGAUGCAGCAACGCCACGUGUGGGAAGAAGCAUUUCGGUGUGUAAACCACUGUCAUGAGGGAAUAAGGCCUAUUUUCGGAUAGGAUUGAAUGUACCUUGAGAGGAAGCACCGGCAAACUUCGUGCCAGCAGCCGCGGUAAUACGAGGGGUGCAAGCGUUGUUCGGAAUUACUGGGCGUAAAGGGAGCGUAGGCGGAGAUUCAAGCGGAUUGUACAAUCCCGGGGCCCAACCCCGGCUCUGCAGUCCGAACUGGAUCUCUUGGAUAGUUCAGGGGCAGGC
rnacentral:rRNA from 1 species